rnacentral:rRNA from 1 species
GGGUUGUGAGGUUAAGCGACUAAGCGUACACGGUGGAUGCCCUGGCAGUCAGAGGCGAUGAAGGACGUGCUAAUCUGCGAUAAGCGUCGGUAAGGUGAUAUGAACCGUUAUAACCGGCGAUUUCCGAAUGGGGAAACCCAGUGUGAUUCGUCACACUAUCAUUAACUGAAUCCAUAGGUUAAUGAGGCGAACCGGGGGAACUGAAACAUCUAAGUACCCCGAGGAAAAGAAAUCAACCGAGAUUCCCCCAGUAGCGGCGAGCGAACGGGGAGCAGCCCAGAGCCUGAAUCAGUGUGUGUGUUAGUGGAAGCGUCUGGAAAGGCGCGCGAUACAGGGUGACAGCCCCGUACACAAAAAUGCACAUGCUGUGAGCUCGAUGAGUAGGGCGGGACACGUGGUAUCCUGUCUGAAUAUGGGGGGACCAUCCUCCAAGGCUAAAUACUCCUGACUGACCGAUAGUGAACCAGUACCGUGAGGGAAAGGCGAAAAGAACCCCGGCGAGGGGAGUGAAAAAGAACCUGAAACCGUGUACGUACAAGCAGUGGGAGCACGCUUAGGCGUGUGACUGCGUACCUUUUGUAUAAUGGGUCAGCGACUUAUAUUCUGUAGCAAGGUUAACCGAAUAGGGGAGCCGAAGGGAAACCGAGUCUUAACUGGGCGUUAAGUUGCAGGGUAUAGACCCGAAACCCGGUGAUCUAGCCAUGGGCAGGUUGAAGGUUGGGUAACACUAACUGGAGGACCGAACCGACUAAUGUUGAAAAAUUAGCGGAUGACUUGUGGCUGGGGGUGAAAGGCCAAUCAAACCGGGAGAUAGCUGGUUCUCCCCGAAAGCUAUUUAGGUAGCGCCUCGUGAAUUCAUCUCCGGGGUAGAGCACUGUUUCGGCAAGGGGGUCAUCCCGACUUACCAACCCGAUGCAAACUGCGAAUACCGGAGAAUGUUAUCACGGGAGACACACGGCGGGUGCUAACGUCCGUCGUGAAGAGGGAAACAACCCAGACCGCCAGCUAAGGUCCCAAAGUCAUGGUUAAGUGGGAAACGAUGUGGGAAGGCCCAGACAGCCAGGAUGUUGGCUUAGAAGCAGCCAUCAUUUAAAGAAAGCGUAAUAGCUCACUGGUCGAGUCGGCCUGCGCGGAAGAUGUAACGGGGCUAAACCAUGCACCGAAGCUGCGGCAGCGACGCUUAUGCGUUGUUGGGUAGGGGAGCGUUCUGUAAGCCUGUGAAGGUGUGCUGUGAGGCAUGCUGGAGGUAUCAGAAGUGCGAAUGCUGACAUAAGUAACGAUAAAGCGGGUGAAAAGCCCGCUCGCCGGAAGACCAAGGGUUCCUGUCCAACGUUAAUCGGGGCAGGGUGAGUCGACCCCUAAGGCGAGGCCGAAAGGCGUAGUCGAUGGGAAACAGGUUAAUAUUCCUGUACUUGGUGUUACUGCGAAGGGGGACGGAGAAGGCUAUGUUGGCCGGGCGACGGUUGUCCCGGUUUAAGCGUGUAGGCUGGUUUUCCAGGCAAAUCCGGAAAAUCAAGGCUGAGGCGUGAUGACGAGGCACUACGGUGCUGAAGCAACAAAUGCCCUGCUUCCAGGAAAAGCCUCUAAGCAUCAGGUAACAUCAAAUCGUACCCCAAACCGACACAGGUGGUCAGGUAGAGAAUACCAAGGCGCUUGAGAGAACUCGGGUGAAGGAACUAGGCAAAAUGGUGCCGUAACUUCGGGAGAAGGCACGCUGAUAUGUAGGUGAAGUCCCUCGCGGAUGGAGCUGAAAUCAGUCGAAGAUACCAGCUGGCUGCAACUGUUUAUUAAAAACACAGCACUGUGCAAACACGAAAGUGGACGUAUACGGUGUGACGCCUGCCCGGUGCCGGAAGGUUAAUUGAUGGGGUCAGCGCAAGCGAAGCUCUUGAUCGAAGCCCCGGUAAACGGCGGCCGUAACUAUAACGGUCCUAAGGUAGCGAAAUUCCUUGUCGGGUAAGUUCCGACCUGCACGAAUGGCGUAAUGAUGGCCAGGCUGUCUCCACCCGAGACUCAGUGAAAUUGAACUCGCUGUGAAGAUGCAGUGUACCCGCGGCAAGACGGAAAGACCCCGUGAACCUUUACUAUAGCUUGACACUGAACAUUGAGCCUUGAUGUGUAGGAUAGGUGGGAGGCUUAGAAGUGUGGACGCCAGUCUGCAUGGAGCCGACCUUGAAAUACCACCCUUUAAUGUUUGAUGUUCUAACGUUGACCCGUAAUCCGGGUUGCGGACAGUGUCUGGUGGGUAGUUUGACUGGGGCGGUCUCCUCCUAAAGAGUAACGGAGGAGCACGAAGGUUGGCUAAUCCUGGUCGGACAUCAGGAGGUUAGUGCAAUGGCAUAAGCCAGCUUGACUGCGAGCGUGACGGCGCGAGCAGGUGCGAAAGCAGGUCAUAGUGAUCCGGUGGUUCUGAAUGGAAGGGCCAUCGCUCAACGGAUAAAAGGUACUCCGGGGAUAACAGGCUGAUACCGCCCAAGAGUUCAUAUCGACGGCGGUGUUUGGCACCUCGAUGUCGGCUCAUCACAUCCUGGGGCUGAAGUAGGUCCCAAGGGUAUGGCUGUUCGCCAUUUAAAGUGGUACGCGAGCUGGGUUUAGAACGUCGUGAGACAGUUCGGUCCCUAUCUGCCGUGGGCGCUGGAGAACUGAGGGGGGCUGCUCCUAGUACGAGAGGACCGGAGUGGACGCAUCACUGGUGUUCGGGUUGUCAUGCCAAUGGCACUGCCCGGUAGCUAAAUGCGGAAGAGAUAAGUGCUGAAAGCAUCUAAGCACGAAACUUGCCCCGAGAUGAGUUCUCCCUGACUCCUUGAGAGUCCUGAAGGAACGUUGAAGACGACGACGUUGAUAGGCCGGGUGUGUAAGCGCAGCGAUGCGUUGAGCUAACCGGUACUAAUGAACCGUGAGGCUUAACCUUACAACGCCGAAGCUGUU